UCGGGUUGUAAAGCACUUUUGUCCGGAAAGAAAACUUCUGCCCUAAUACGGUGGGAGGAUGACGGUACCGGAAGAAUAAGCACCGGCUAACUACGUGCCAGCAGCGCGGUAAUCGUGGGGUGCGAGCGUUAAUCGGAAUUACUGGGCGUAAAGCGUGCGCAGGCGGUUCGUUAAGACAGAUGUGAAAUCCCCGGGCUUAACCUGGGAACUGCAUUUGUGACUGGCGAGCUAGAGUAUGGCAGAGGGGGGUAGAAUUCCACGUGUAGCAGUGAAAUGCGUAGAGAUGUGGAGGAAUACCGAUGGCGAAGGCAGCCCCCUGGGCCAAUACUGACGCUCAUGCACGAAAGCGUGGGGAGCAAACAGGAUUAGAUACCCUGGUAGUCCACGCCCUAAACGAUGUCAACUAGUUGUUGGGUCUUCAUUGACUUAGUAACGUAGCUAACGCGUGAAGUUGACCGCCUGGGGAGUACGGUCGCAAGAUUAAAACUCAAAGGAAUUGACGGGGACCCGCACAAGCGGUGGAUGAUGUGGAUUAAUUCGAUGCAACGCGAAAAACCUUACCUACCCUUGACAUGGUCGGAACCCUGCUG
rnacentral:rRNA from 1 species